rnacentral:lncRNA from 1 species
AGACUCCCUUUUCCUGACAGUUCCAUCAGUACCUGUAGACCUUUCCAGCUUAUUCAUGUAGAUACUUUGGGCCCUUAUCACACCCCUACCUCUUCUGGUUGUAAAUAUUUCCUUACUAUAGUUGAUGAUUUCUCUAGAGCAAACUGGACACAUUUACUGGGGGUCUAACAGUAAUGCUUUCAACCUUAUCAAGUCCUUUAUAUGUAUGGUCAAAACACAAUUUAAUGCCGCUGUACAAACUGUCAGAAGUGAUAAUGCUUUUGAAUUAGGGUGUAGUCUUGCUGGUGUUUCUCACCUGGAUACAUUUACUGGGGUCUAAAAGUAAUGCUUUCAGCCAUAUCAAGUCCUUUAUAUGUAUGGUCAAAACACAAUUUAAUGCCACUGUGCAAACUGUCAGAAGUGAUAAUGCUUUUGAAUUAGGGUCUAGUCUUGCUGGUGUUUCUUUCUUUAAUCAACAAGGCAUCAUUCAUCAAACUACUU